AGCUCCAAUAGCGUAUAUUAAAGUUGUUGCAGUUAAAAAGCUCGUAGUUGGACAUCGGGCGCGUGUGCAUGGUCCGCCGAAAGGUGUGCACCGUGUGGGCUCUCUGGCCUCGCAAGACGCGCGUCCUCUUUCCGUAGACCGCGUGGGCCCUUAGUUGCGGCGUGCGUAUUAUGGGAUGCGGAUCGUUUACUUUGAAUAAAUUAGAGUGUUCAAAGCAGGCUUUCGCUUGGAUACAUUAGCAUGGAAUAAUGGAAUAGGACUUUGGUUCUAUUUUGUUGGUUUCUAGGACCGAAGUAAUGAUUAAUAGGGAUAGUUGGGGGCAUUAAUAUUUAAUUGUCAGAGGUGAAAUUCUUGGAUUUAUGAAAGAUUAACUUCUGCGAAAGCAUUUGCCAAGGAUGUU
rnacentral:rRNA from 1 species